rnacentral:rRNA from 1 species
UUGACCUCGAAUCAGGUAGGAAUACCCGCUGAACUUAAGCAUAUCAAUAAGCGGAGGAAAAGAAACCAACAGGGAUUGCCCCAGUAACGGCGAGUGAAGCGGCAACAGCUCAAAUUUGAAAUCUGGCCCCUUGGGGCCCGAGUUGUAAUUUGCAGAGGAUACUUUUGGCGAGGCGCCUUCCGAGUUCCCUGGAACGGGACGCCAUAGAGGGUGAGAGCCCCGUCUGGUUGGAUGCCGAGCCUCUGUAAAGUUCCUUCGACGAGUCGAGUAGUUUGGGAAUGCUGCUCUAAAUGGGAGGUAUAUGUCUUCUAAAGCUAAAUAUUGGCCAGAGACCGAUAGCGCACAAGUAGAGUGAUCGAAAGAUGAAAAGCACUUUGGAAAGAGGGUUAAAAAGCACGUGAAAUUGUUGAAAGGGAAGCGCUUGUGACCAGACGUGGGCCUGUCGGAUCAUCCAGCGUUCUCGCUGGUGCACUCCGGCGGGCUCAGGCCAGCAUCAGCUCGUCCCGGGGGACAAAGGCAGCGGGAAUGUGGCUCCUUCGGGAGUGUUAUAGCCCGCUGCGUAAUGCCCUGGGGCGGGCUGAGGUUCGCGCAUCUGCAUGGAUGCUGGCAUAAUGGUUAUCAGCGACCCGUCUUGAAACACGGACCAA